CGGACGGGUGAGUAACACGUGGAUAACCUACCUAUAAGACUGGGAUAACUUCGGGAAACCGGAGCUAAUACCGGAUAAUAUAUUGAACCGCAUGGUUCAAUAGUGAAAGACGGUUUUGCUGUCACUUAUAGAUGGAUCCGCGCCGCAUUAGCUAGUUGGUAAGGUAACGGCUUACCAAGGCAACGAUGCGUAGCCGACCUGAGAGGGUGAUCGGCCACACUGGAACUGAGACAUGGUCCAG
rnacentral:rRNA from 1 species